rnacentral:SRP_RNA from 3 species
UUGGUUCUCCCGCAACACUAACUUGUGAACUCGGUCAGGUCCGGAAGGAAGCAGCCGCAGCAGGUGACGUGUGUGCCGGGAUGUAGCUGG